ensembl:lincRNA
CACACUGACACACUCACACUGUCACAAUGACACACACACUGACACUCACACUGCCUGACACUCACACUGUCACACUGACACACUCACUGCCUGACACUCACACUGACACUCACACUGUCACACUGACACACUCACACUGUCACACUGACACACUCACUGCCUGACACUCACACUGUCACACUGACACACUCACUGCCUGACACUCACACUGACACUCACACUGCCUGACACUCACACUGUCACACUGACACACUCACACUGCCUGACGCACAGUACACUGACACCCUGACACACUCACUCUGACGCACUGACGCACUGACACGCUGACACUCACUGCCGAGCACUCACACUCACACACACUGGCCCUGCACAUCGAGGCUGCCCCCAGAUGUCUGAGCCUACACCCCCCUUCACAGGCUUCUACCCCUCCUCUCCCCUCAACCAAUCCGUCGCCUGUUUUCGACGUCAUCGCGCCGCUCUUCCUGUUUCCCGACGGCGAGGCGGUGGAGCCCACAACACUCUGCGGAGCCUGAGCUGCACUGGCAAACCCCUUAAUCCAUCUGCAGGUGCUCGGGGCCCGAGCCGGAGUGGCCCCCACCCUCGCUGGCAGCGCGGACAGCGCCCCCCCGCCCGGCCCUCCC